rnacentral:rRNA from 1 species
UGCGCAGGCGGGCUUGUAAGUCAGUGGUGAAAUUCUGCCGCUUAACGGUAGAACUGCCAUUGAUACUGCAAGUCUUGAGUAUGGUUGAGGUAGGCGGAAUGUGUUGUGUAGCGGUGAAAUGCAUAGAUAUGACACAGAACGCCAAUCGCGAAGGCAGCUUACUAAGCCAUUAUUGACGCUGAGGCACGAAAGCGUGGGGAGCGAACAGGAUUAGAUACCCUGGUAGUCC